rnacentral:rRNA from 1 species
GAGAAUUAAUUUUCGGAUUAAGGAAACCGGCGCACGGGUGCGUAACGCGUAUGCAACUUGCCCUUAUCAGGAGGAUAGCCCGGGGAAACUCGGAUUAAUACUCCAUAAGAUUUUGAUUGGCAUCGAUUAAAAUUGAAAGAUUUAUUGGAUAAGGAUAGGCAUGCGUCAGAUUAGUUAGUUGGUAGUGUAACGGACUACCAAGGCGAUGAUCUGUAGGGGGCCUGAGAGGGUGAACCCCCACACUGGUACUGAGACACGGACCAGACUCCUACGGGAGGCAGCAGUGAGGAAUAUUGGACAAUGGAGGGAACUCUGAUCCAGCCAUCCCGCGUGCAGGAAGACGGCCCUAUGGGUUGUAAACUGCUUUUGUAUGGGGAUAAAUCUACCUACGUGUAGGUAGUUGAAGGUACCAUACGAAUAAGCAUCGGCUAACUCCGUGCCAGCAGCCGCGGUAAUACGGAGGAUGCAAGCGUUAUCCGGAUUCAUUGGGUUUAAAGGGUCCGUAGGCGGGCUGAUAAGUCAGUGGUGAAAUUUUGUCGCUCAACGAUAAAACUGCCAUUGAUACUGUUAGUCUUGAGUGAUAUUGAAGUAGCUGGAAUGUGUAGUGUAGCGGUGAAAUGCAUAGAUAUUACACAGAACACCGAUUGCGAAGGCAGGUUACUAAGUAUUAACUGACGCUGAAGGACGAAAGCGUGGGGAGCGAACAGGAUUAGAUACCCUGGUAGUCCACGCAGUAAACGAUGCUAACUCGUUUUCGGGGAGUGAUCUUCGGAGACCAAGCGAA